rnacentral:rRNA from 1 species
UACAGAGGGGGCAAGCGUUGUUCGGAAUUACUGGGCGUAAAGGGCGCGUAGGCGGCCUUCUAAGUCGAACGUGAAAUCCCCGGGCUCCGAACCCGGGAACUGGCGUCCGAUACUGGAAGGCUUGAAUCCGGGAGAGGGAUGCGGGAAUUCCGAGGUGUAGCGGUGAAAUGCGUGAGGAUAAUCUGGGAGGAACACCGGUGGCGAAGGCGAGCAAUCCUCGGGA